UGCUAUUGGUGGAAUUGCAAC
rnacentral:siRNA from 1 species